rnacentral:rRNA from 1 species
UACGUAGGGUGCGAGCGUUGUCCGGAUUUAUUGGGCGUAAAGAGCUCGUAGGCGGUUUGUCGCGUCGGCCGUGAAAUCUCCACGCUUAACGUGGAGCGUGCGGUCGAUACGGGCAGACUUGAGUUCGGUAGGGGGAGACUGGAAUUCCUGGUGUAGCGGUGAAAUGCGCAGAUAUCAGGAGGAACACCGGUGGCGAAGGCGGGGUCUCUGGGACGGUACUGACGCUGAGACGCGAAAGCGUGGGGAGCGAACAGG